rnacentral:rRNA from 1 species
CCUACGGGAGGCAGCAGUAAGGAAUAUUGGUCAAUGGACGCAAGUCUGAACCAGCCAUGCCGCGUGAAGGAUUAAGGUCCUCUGGAUUGUAAACUUCUUUUAUUUGGGACGAAAAAGGGCCUUUCUAGGUCAACUGACGGUACCAGAUGAAUAAGCACCGGCUAACUCCGUGCCAGCAGCCGCGGUAAUACGGAGGGUGCAAGCGUUAUCCGGAUUCACUGGGUUUAAAGGGUGCGUAGGCGGGUAGGUAAGUCAGUGGUGAAAUCCUAGAGCUUAACUCUAGAACUGCCAUUGAUACUAUCUAUCUUGAAUAUUGUGGAGGUAAGCGGAAUAUGUCAUGUAGCGGUGAAAUGCUUAGAUAUGACAUAGAACACCUAUUGCGAAGGCAGCUUACUACGCAUAUAUUGACGCUGAGGCACGAAAGCGUGGGGAUCAAACAGGAUUAGAUACCCUGGUAGUCCACGCCCUAAACUAUGGAUACUCGACAUUUGUGUAUACACAAUAAGUAGUCUGAGAGAAGACAUAAGUAUACCACCUCGGUAGUACGUCCGCGAGAGAGAACGACAAGUAGAGUAGACGGCGUGAGACGACGCCGACGGACGACGACGAGGGGAGGUAGG